rnacentral:lncRNA from 1 species
AUGGAUAAGAGAGGUUUUGUGUGUUGCCAGAAUUCAAAGCUAGGACAGUCGAGGAAAGGACACCCAACCAUGAGGUCUUGCAAUCGUGGGCUUAUUUUUCUCCAGCAGCGGUGGCAAUCUAGAUGCUGUGAUCUAGGACGAGUGCAGCCUCCGGGGUGGUCGGCAAAGAUGCCUCAGUUUACACUUCAUCGGCCACAACUGAGUGAUAAUGAAAGGCUGCCCGCGCCGUGCAUGAAGCUGCCAUACCAAGGGGGCAAGUGGGACCCUUCAGAACCGGUAGAGAGAAGGGCAGAUGUUCAGAGUAUUGAAAACAUCCCACCAGGGGCAGUGACCUUGGAAACUGUGUCCCAGCUUUCCAGUUUGCCUUAGUUGUCUCCUGCCUAGAAACCCCUGGUGUGAAGACACUGUUGCCAGCUUCCUCUGCCUCCCCUGCUUUCAAAAUGGAUUUUAUCCACUUGGCGGAAGGAUUCCAUGUCACGACAGACUUCACGACAGCAGCCCAAGUGGGUAAAAGAGGCUCUGCUGGGGCUGGAGAACGGGCUCAGUGGUUUGCAGCACUUGCUGUUCCCAGACAGUCUCAGAUUAGGGUCCCGGGUGGGACACUGGGAUGGAUUGUGGUGGGUCUGCAGUUUAUUAGAUGUGCCGCCCACCCCCCCGCCCCCCCCCCCGCCCCCCCCCCCAUCAGCCUUAAGCAAGGCUAGCUCAGACCUCAUUUGCUACAGUUGCUAACUCACCUAGGGUAGAGUCUUCUGACCUAGGUAAAGUCUUUUGUCUGCCCUAUCUGCAGCUUCCUGCAAGAAGCUACCCGCUGAGCCGCUGAGCUUGUUUUCCUGACAGAUCCUGACAAAGUGAAAAAAGCGAUCCUGGCAUAGUGGGGGAUGGGUUCCCCCCCACCCCUCACCCCUUUAAAACUCAGACCCUAGAAUUAAAGUUGAGCCUUGAUCAGAGAACUUUGUCUCUCUCGCAGUCCUUCCCAUCCAACCCCAGCUUUCCUUUCAGGAACCCAGGAACCCGUGGCCGCCGGUGGCUACAAUUAGAAGUGUUAUUAAUGCCCUGGAUAGACAAACAGAAAACACUAUGACGGACACACCGAGGAAGCAGGACCCACACAGUGGAAUGUGUGUGUGUGUGUGUGUGUGUGUGUGUGUCUUCUUACAGCUUCUGCAGAGAGGAGAGGCUUCACAGCAGGGGCCAGUAAGCAGGAUCUCUGGUUCCCAGGCAGAGGACAGGAAAGGGGUGGGGAGCAAGACAUGGAGCCAGCAAUGUCACCAGUGAUAAAACCCACUUCCCCAGGUUCAAGACCCUGGAAAUCCACAUCUGUUAGAGACUCACGGGCCAUGUCUCAGUCG